rnacentral:rRNA from 1 species
UACGGAGGGUGCAAGCGUUAAUCGGAAUUACUGGGCGUAAAGCGCACGCAGGUGGCUGAGUCAGUCGAUUGUGAAAGCCCUGGGCUUAACCUGGGAAUUGCAGUCGAUACUACUCGGCUCGAGUAUGGGAGAGGGCAGUGGAAUUCCCGGUGUAGCGGUGAAAUGCGCAGAUAUCAGGAAGAACACCCGUGGCGAAGGCGGCUCUCUGGGACGGUACUGACGCUGAGGAGCGAAAGCCAGGGGAGCAAACGGG